rnacentral:rRNA from 1 species
UACGUAGGGUGCGAGCGUUAAUCGGAAUUACUGGGCGUAAAGCGUGCGCAGGCGGUUUUGUAAGACAGAUGUGAAAUCCCCGGGCUCAACCUGGGACCUGCAUUUGUGACUGCAAGGCUGGAGUACGGCAGAGGGGGAUGGGAAUUCCGCGUGUAGCAGUGAAAUGCGUAGAUAUGCGGAGGAACACCGAUGGCGAAGGCAAUCCCCUGGGCCUGCACUGACGCUCAUGCACGAAAGCGUGGGGAGCAAACAGG